rnacentral:tRNA from 1 species
GUUCUUGUACCUCAAUGGUUAGAGCAUCCAACCAGCUGUACAGAGGUUGUAGGUUAAAUUCCUUCCUGGAACU